CACCUCUAGCAUUUCCAGUAUUAGAGGCACUGCCUGCCCAGUGACAUCUGUUUAAACGGCCGCGGUAUCCUAAUCGUGCAAAGGUAGCAUAAUCACUUGUUCCCUAAAUAGGGACUUGUAUGAAUGGCCACACGAGGGUUUUACUGUCUCUUACUUCCAAUCAGUGAAAUUGACCUUCCCGUGAAGAGGCGGGAAUGACUAAAUAAGACGAGAAGACCCUAUGGAGCUUUAAUUAACUGAUUCACAAAAAACAACACACAAACCUAACCUUCAGGGACAACAAAACUUUUGAUUGAAUCAGCAAUUUCGGUUGGGGUGACCUCGGAGAACAAAACAACCUCCGAGUGAUUUAAAUCCAGACUAACCAGUCAAAAUAUAUAAUCACUUAUUGAUCCAAACCAUUGAUCAACGGAACAAGUUACCCUAGGGAUAACAGCGCAAUCCUAUUCCAGAGUCCAUAUCGACAAUUAGGGUUUACGACCUCGAUGUUGGAUCAAGACAUCCUAAUGGUGCAACCGCUAUUAAGGGUUCGUUUGUUCAACGAUUAAAGUCUU
rnacentral:rRNA from 1 species